CCAACUUGAUAAUAGGUUAGGCCACUCGAAACGCGUCGUUUUCUGACUUCAGUGGUUGAGCCAAUUGUUUUUCUCCGCAGUCGCGAUGGAAGCUCCAACUCUAGGGUUUCGAUUCAUCUUCUUCCUCUGGGCUUGAAUUUCACCAGUUACACAUUCAUCUUUUUAAAGUCCUCCUUGAUUUCAUCAUCCACGAUCUACAUUUAUGUCUUGCAAGGCUGUGGGGGAAUCUCGGUAUAAAAAGAUUCAUCUGUCUGAAUUGAAGGCGGUUUUAGGUUUCUGGGAAUCUCGAAAUGUUAAGAAAGGUGGUGAGCUCGUGGGCUUUGAUAUGCUUUUGGUUUUGAUGGCAAGGAUGUUGUGGUUAAAUGGAGAUCAAAGCUAUUCGCAAGUGCACUUCUUGCUUCUCGGCACAACUGGAUCCUAACCUUUGUACUUAAGUGUUGAAAACAGAAGAGAAAACGACCAACCAGUUUCACAUACUCGAUGAUUAUUAGAAGACUUUACGCUGCCUGGAAAUCAAAGUGGGACAUGGCUUCUGAAGAUAUAAGUAAAUUCCAGUUCAAAUCACUCGCAAGUUACAAUAUUAUUACUAAAAUUAUUUAUGCAGCGUCAAAGAUUUGUUCAGGGCAUUGAGUUAUUUAAAAGAGAUGAUAUCUCAAAAGUUGAGUCAUUAAGAUUGGGGUAAAAUUCGUGCUUCGGGAAAAGGAUGUACAUGAGCAUGGUUGGUUAGACCCUUUGAAGUUAUGCAGACUUACUGAAAGAGUUUAGAGUA